GAGGGUGUAGCUCAGUGGUAGAGCACAUGCUUAGCGCGUGCAAAGUCCUGGGCUCAAUCCCCAGUACCUGCA
rnacentral:tRNA from 1 species